rnacentral:rRNA from 1 species
AACGAACGCUGGCGGCGUGGAUAAGACAUGCAAGUCAAACGAGAGAAUUGCUAGCUUGCUAAUAAUUCUCUAGUGGCGCACGGGUGAGUAACACGUGAGUAACCUGCCCCCGAGAGCGGGAUAGCCCUGGGAAACUGGGAUUAAUACCGCAUAGUAUCGAAAGAUUAAAGCAGCAGUGCGCUUGGGGAUGGGCUCGCGGCCUAUUAGUUAGUUGGUGAGGUAACGGCUCACCAAGGCGAUGACGGGUAGCCGGUCUGAGAGGAUGUCCGGCCACACUGGAACUGAGACACGGUCCAGACACCUACGGGUGGCAGCAGUCGAGAAUCAUUCACAAUGGGGGAAACCCUGAUGGUGCGACGCCGCGUGGGGGAAUGAAGGUCUUCGGAUUGUAAACCCCUGUCAUGUGGGAGCAAAUUAAAAAGAUAGUACCACAAGAGGAAGAGACGGCUAACUCUGUGCCAGCAGCCGCGGUAAUACAGAGGUCUCAAGCGUUGUUCGGAAUCACUGGGCGUAAAGCGUGCGUAGGCUGUUUCGUAAGUCGUGUGUGAAAGGCGCGGGCUCAACCCGCGGACGGCACAUGAUACUGCGAGACUAGAGUAAUGGAGGGGGAACCGGAAUUCUCGGUGUAGCAGUGAAAUGCGUAGAUAUCGAGAGGAACACUCGUGGCGAAGGCGGGUUCCUGGACAUUAACUGACGCUGAGGCACGAAGGCCAGGGGAGCGAAAA